CAACCACCACCUGAAAAUAGGAAAAAAAAUUAUGUAUAGGAUUUGGUACUACCUGAGGUUUCAGGCAUCCACUGGGGGUCUUGGAAUGUAUCCCCUAUGGUUAAGGGAGAAUGACUACAAACCAACGAACUGCUACUUAGCAAGAGGAAGGCAUCAGGGCAGUAGCUCCUCUGGGAAUAGUAAAGCACUUCUUUCUCCUGCUGCCCUGUGAAGAAGGACGUGUUUGCAUCCCCUUCCACCAUGAUUGUGAGUUUCCUGAGGCCUUCCCAGCCAUGUGGAACUGUGAGUCAAUUAAACCACUUUCCUUUAUUAAUUACCCAGUCCCAGUUAUUUCUUCACAGCAGUGUGAGAACGGACUAGCACAGUUUCCUUCCCUGGUUUGCAAAGUCUCGGUCUCCUCCAUGGUCAAGUAUCUGGUAACUCACCAGACUCUGAGUUUCCUUUCCACAUCAGAAUCUUGACUUGUUUUCUCAAGAUACAUGUGCUCGUUAAUUUCAGGUGUCAAAGUGACUGGAUUUAGGGAUGUCCAGUAGCUGGUGAAGCACUGUUUCUGUGUUUGUGUGUAAGGGUGUUUCCAUGGGUCAGUGAACUGGGAGAGGAAAAUCCCCUCAAUGCUGGCACAACAACCAGACAGCAGGGGGCCAGGCCGGCACAAAUAGGCAGAAGAAGGGGGACUCACUCUGUUUUCUCUCUCCUUUCCAGAGCAGGAUAUUUUUUCUCUUCCUGCCUUUGGACAUCAGACUCCCAGGUCCUUUGGCUUUUGGACUCUGGGACUUGUCCCAGCAACAUUCCAGGGGGUCCUUGAGCCUACAUUGUUGGCUUUUCUCAUUCUGAGGCUUUGGACUUGGACUGGGCCACGCUACCAGCUUCUCUGGUUCUCCGGCCUGCAGUUGUCCUAACCUGGGACUUCUCCACCUCUGUGACCAUCCAUGUAAGACGAGCCCGCUUCCCCUUUGCCUUCCACCAUGAUUUUAAGUUUCCUGAGACCUCCCCAGAAGCCAAGCAGAUGCCAGAAUCAUGCUUUCUGUACAGCCUGUGGAACUGUGAGCCAAUUAAAUUUCUUCUAUUUAUAAAUUACCUAGACUCAGGUAUUUCUUUGUAGCAAUGCAAGAAUGGACUAAUACAACCAUUGUGUGUCUAGUACCUAGAAACCACCAGGCAUA
rnacentral:lncRNA from 1 species